GACGAACGCUGGCGGCGUGCCUAAUACAUGCAAGUUGAGCGCUGAAGGUUGGUACUUGUACCAACUGGAUGAGCAGCGAACGGGUGAGUAACGCGUGGGGAAUCUGCCUUUGAGCGGGGGACAACAUUUGGAAACGAAUGCUAAUACCGCAUAAAAACUUUAAACACAAGUUUUAAGUUUGAAAGAUGCAAUUGCAUCACUCAAAGAUGAUCCCGCGUUGUAUUAGCUAGUUGGUGAGGUAAAGGCUCACCAAGGCGAUGAUACAUAGCCGACCUGCGAGGGUGAUCGGCCACAUUGGGACUGAGACACGGCCCAAACUCCUACGGGAGGCAGCAGUAGGGAAUCUUCGGCAAUGGACGAAAGUCUGACCGAGCAACGCCGCGUGAGUGAAGAAGGUUUUCGGAUCGUAAAACUCUGUUGGUAGAGAAGAACGUUGGUGAGAGUGGAAAGCUCAUCAAGUGACGGUAACUACCCAGAAAGGGACGGCUAACUACGG
rnacentral:rRNA from 1 species